rnacentral:RNase_P_RNA from 1 species
GUACCGGGAAGCGCGGUCGCGCGAUAUCAUGCCGAAAGGUCGUAUCGUGAGGAAAGUCCGGGCUUCGCAGGGCAGGAUAACGGAUAACGUCCGCCGGAGGCGACUCCAGGGAAAGUGCAACAGAAAGCAACCGCCUCUCUUUUUGGGGAGGUAAGGGUGGAAAGGCGAGGUAAGAGCUCACCGGCGCGGAUGGCAACACCGCGCAACUGUAAACCCUAUCCGAAGCAACACCGUAUGCGGAUUCGCUAUAGCGACGGUUGGCCCGACCGAUGUCCGCGGGUGGCAGCGGGAUCUUGAUCCCCGAGCAGCGAUGGCAACAUUCUGCAAAGAUAGAUGAUCGCGGGGGGCUUUUGCCCCAACAGAACCCGGCUUACAUUCCCGGUACCUAC